rnacentral:rRNA from 1 species
GACUAGAGUAGGGCGGGACACGUGAAAUCCUGUCUGAACAUGGGGGGACCACCCUCCAAGCCUAAAUACUCGUACAUGACCGAUAGCGAACUAAGUACCGUGAGGGAAAGGUGAAAAGCACCCUGAAUAAGGGAGUGAAAAAGAACCUGAAACCGUGCGCCUACAAGCGGUCGGAGCCUUUAGAGGUGACGGCGUGCCUUUUGCAUAAUGAGCCUACGAGUUACUGUUACUAGCAAGGUUAAGAUUUUAAGGAUCGGAUCCGAAGCGAAAGCGAGUCUGAAUAGGGCGACAUAGUUAGAGGGAUGAGACCCGAAACCGAGUGAUCUAGCCAUGUGCAGG